rnacentral:rRNA from 1 species
UACGUAGGGUGCGAGCGUUAAUCGGAAUUACUGGGCGUAAAGCGUGCGCAGGCGGUGAUGUAAGACUGUCGUGAAAUCCCCGGGCUUAACCUGGGAAUGGCGAUGGUGACUGCAAGGCUAGAGUUUGGCAGAGGGGGGUAGAAUUCCACGUGUAGCAGUGAAAUGCGUAGAUAUGUGGAGGAACACCGAUGGCGAAGGCAGCCCCCUGGGUCAAAACUGACGCUCAUGCACGAAAGCGUGGGGAGCAAACAGG